UACGUAGGUGGCAAGCGUUGUCCGGAUUUAUUGGGUUUAAAGGGUGCGUAGGCGGCCUUGUAAGUCAGUGCUGAAAUAUCCCGGCUUAACCGGGAGGGUGGCAUUGAUACUGCAGGGCUUGAGUAAAGUUGAGGUUGGCGGAAUUGACGGUGUAGCGGUGAAAUGCUUAGAUAUCGUCAAGAACACCGAUAGUGAAGACAGCUAACUAAGCUUUAACUGACGCUGAGGCACGAAAGUGCGGGGAUCAAACAGG
rnacentral:rRNA from 1 species